AGGCAGGCGCUCGCUGAGGCAGGAGGAGGGCUCUCGGCCCGCGGCCUGACAGGGACUUAGCCCGCAGAGAUCGGCCCCGCGCGCGCGACCCCACACCCACCCAGUCAUCCACCUACCCAUUCCCUGCGCCGCCUCCUCCCACCCUGAGCAGAGCCGCCGAGGAUGAUAAACACCCAGGACAGUAGUAUUUUGCCUUUGAGUAACUGUCCCCAGCUCCAGUGCUGCAGGCACCUUGUUCCGGGGCCUCUGUGGUGCUCCUGAUGCCCCUCACCCACUGUCGAAGAUCCCCGGUGGGCGAGGGGGCGGCAGGGAUCCUUCUCUCUCAGCUCUAAUAUAUAAGGACGAGAAGCUCACUGUGACCCAGGACCUCCCUGUGAAUGAUGGAAAACCUCACAUUGUCCACUUCCAUUAUGAGGUCACCAAGGUGAAGAUCUCUUCCUGGGAUGCAGUCCUGUCCAGCCAGAGCCUGUUUGUAGAAAUCCCAGAUGGAUUAUUAGCUGAUGGGAGCAAAGAAGGAUUGUUAGCACUGCUAGAGUUUGCUGAAGAGAAGAUGAAAGUGAACUACGUCUUCAUCUGCUUCAGGAAGGGACGGGAAGACAGAGCUCCACUCCUGAAGACCUUCAGCUUCUUGGGCUUUGAGAUUGUGCAUCCAGGCCAUCCCUGUGUCCCCUCUCGGCCAGAUGUGAUGUUCAUGGUUUACCCCCUGGACCAGAACUUGUCCGAUGAGGACUAAUGGUCAUAGAGGAUGCUUUGCCCAAGAGCCACAAUGGGGGAAGAGGGGAAGUUAGGCAGCCCUGGGACAGAGGAAGAGGGCCCCUUGCUGUCUAGGAAAGGAUGCUGAGGGGGUCAGGGUGAGGGUUGCCUAUUGUGUUCUGGGAGUUGACUCGUUGAAAUUGUUUUCCAUAAAGAACAGUAUAAACAUAUUAUUCACAUGUAAUCACCAAUAGUAAAUGAAGAUGUUUAUGAACUGGCAUUAGAAGCUUUUUAAACUGCGCUGUGUGAUGUGCUCUAUCUAGCCUAGGGAAGGACAUUGCCUAGAGGGGAGGGACUAUCUGGGUCUAGGGGCACAGCCUGGAGGGCUGAUGGCAAUACCCAUCAGCUCACCUCCCCUGCUAUUGGACUUUAUGUUUUGGUUAUUAAGAUUUGUGUAUUUUUUUCCUCUUUGCUUCCUGUCACACCAGGGACUCCUGAGUAUAGG